AAGUCUUGACAUCCCGAUGACAGAGUAUGUAAUGUACUUUCUCUUCGGAGCAUCGGUGACAGGUGGUGCAUGGUUGUCGUCAGCUCGUGUCGUGAGAUGUUGGGUUAAGUCCCGCAACGAGCGCAACCCCUGUUCUUAGUAGCCAGCGGUUCGGCCGGGCACUCUAGGGAGACUGCCAGGGAUAACCUGGAGGAAGGCGGGGAUGACGUCAAAUCAUCAUGCCCCUUAUGACUUGGGCUACACACGUGCUACAAUGGCGUAAACAAAGGGAAGCAAAGCCGUGAGGCCGAGCAAAUCUCAAAAAUAACGUCUCAGUUCGGACUGUAGUCUGCAACCCGACUACACGAAGCUGGAAUCGCUAGUAAUCGCAGAUCAGAAUGCUGCGGUGAAUACGUUCCCGGGUCUUGUACACACCGCCCGUCACACCAUGGGAGUUGGAAAUGCCCGAAGUCAGUGACCCAACCGCAAGGAGGGAGCUGCCGAAGGCAGGUUCGAUAACUGGGGUGAAGUCGUAACAAGGUAGCCGUAUCGGAAGGUGCGGCUGGAUCACCUCCUUU
rnacentral:rRNA from 1 species